GACGAACGCUGGCGGCGUGCUUAACACAUGCAAGUCGAACGGAAAGGCCCUGCUUUUGUGGGGUGCUCGAGUGGCGAACGGGUGAGUAACACGUGAGUAAACUGCACUUGACUUUGGGAUAACUUCAGGAAACUGGGGCUCAUACCGGAUAGGAGCUCCUGCUGCAUGGUGGGGGUUGGAAAGUUUCGGCGGUUGGGGAUGGACUCGCGGCUUAUCAGCUUGUCGGUGGGGUAGUGGCUUACCAAGGCUUUGACGGGUAGCCGGCCUGAGAGGGUGACCGGCCACAUUGGGACUGAGAUACGGCCCAGACUCCUACGGGAGGCAGCAGUGGGGAAUAUUGCACAAUGGGCGGAAGCCUGAUGCAGCAACGCCGCGUGCGGGAUGACGGCCUUCGGGUUGUAAACCGCUUUCGCCUGUGACGAAGCGUGAGUGACGGUAAUGGGUAAAGAAGCACCGGCUAACUACGUG
rnacentral:rRNA from 1 species